AUAAUGGUGUUUUUAUUCAGCCAAAACGUAACUACUCUAAUUAGUUUAAAGGGGAAAGCUGACAUGCAUGAACCUGAAGCCUGGCAGGUGGGGAGAGUGACCAAAACACAGCAAGUCCCAGUGAUGAAGGUCCUGGCCACCCUCAAGAGCAGGCACUCAAAACAUGAGAUUCCUCUUUCUAAAGUCUCUAGAGUUAGAAAUUCUAAGUGCAUUUCCUUACCUAGUGUGGCCAUUGACCCU
rnacentral:lncRNA from 1 species